AUUGAACGCUGGCGGCAUGCUUUACACAUGCAAGUCGAACGGUAACAGGGUGCUUGCACCGCUGACGUGUGGCGAACGGGUGAGUAAUGCGUCGGAACGUGCCGAGUAGUGGGGGAUAACGCAGCGAAAGUUGUGCUAAUACCGCAUACGUACUGAGGUAGAAAGUGGGGGACCUUCGGGCCUCACGCUAUUCGAGCGGCCGACGUCUGAUUAGCUAGUAGGUGAGGUAAGAGCUCACCUAGGCGACGAUCAGUAGCGGGUCUGAGAGGAUGAUCCGCCACACGGGGACUGAGACACGGCCCAGACUCCUACGGGAGGCAGCAGUGGGGAAUUUUGGACAAUGGGCGCAAGCCUGAUCCAGCCAUGCCGCGUGUCUGAAGAAGGCCUUCGGGUUGUAAAGGACUUUUGUCAGGGAGGAAAUCCUAGUGGCUAAUAACUGCUGGGGAUGACAGUACCUGAAGAAUAAGCACCGGCUAACUACGUGCCAGCCGCCGCGGUAAGAC
rnacentral:rRNA from 1 species